UCAGCUCUAUCAAGACACGUAAUCUCCGAAGACUAGUUAGGGUCGACGAAUAUUAUACGUAUUGAUCGUGCCAACGAUCGGUCUUUAUCAAAUGGCCUUCACGUCGCCAUACGUUUAAGCUUCUAAUCCGUCCGUCCUAACGAGCAGCUUCUCGACCGUAUGGUGCAUUGCAUCAGUUGGCGUUUGACCGCGGACCGGUCAAGAUCCAAUGUGUUGCGCAGCCCAUCACAUGAAGGAGACGACUGUGUGUUACCCUCCCGAGAGAGUUGUAGAAGGAAGCUCAUGUCAAUCGGAUCUGAGCCUGCUAAUUUGUUGUUUCUUUUGUCCUAGUGAGGGAGGAUGAACAUGUAGUCUCUCUGCUUGCUAAGCCAAGGGAUACUGCUCAAGGCGUCGUCACUUUCGGUCACGAGCUGAAGGUGUUAUGAUAGUUCCACAAGUUGGAGGCACUUGAUCGUCUCACAUAUAUGGAUAGCUUUGGGCUUCCACUUGUUGGGAGUGGAUCUUUGCAAAGGACAAAUGAUUAGGCCGAGUCUUCGUCAUCUGCCAACAAAGAAAGUGUGCCAAGUGACUCAUUUCCUGUCAUCGUCGAUUCACCUUCCUUUACAAAAAGUCAUGGCGGCGGCUCUAAUUUUCGUCGUCAUGCCAUCCAUGGAAGUUUCAUAUAUAUAUAUAUCACCCCAAACCAAGCCCACGGAGUUUGCUCUUCACGCCACAUAAAUGACUACAAGCUCUAGAAAUCUGCCUAUGGCUUCGGUUUACUCAUCCCCUUCCUCCAGACCACCUCGCAGUACCUCUUCCUCUUCCCGGACCUGCCUUUGCGCUCCGACCACGCAUCCGGGGUCAUUCAGGUGCAACCUCCAUAGAAGCACUCGGAAGAUAUCGAGCCAGUCGACGGCUCAUUCUGUGAAGGAGCUGAAAGGAGCAGCGAAAGCGAAGGCGAGGUCAGUGAGGGCUGUGCUGUUAAAGAUCAUCAACCCCUCGAGUCACGACCUCCGGCGGCGAAGGAACUUCCAGCCCAAGCCCUCGAGGUUUCAGCUGAUGAAUGGAGAUGGGCGAGCACUGGAAGGUGUUCGAUCGUGAUCCUUUCGCAGCUGUUUUUUGAAGCCUUUGUUUUCUGAACAGGAAAGCGGUGAUGCUUUCAUGAAACAAUGUUGAGUUCAUGGAGGAUUGAGUCCUCUUUGUCUCCUUCUGUCAAAGCUCCUUAAAUAACGUGGGAUCAACUUGAUGCAAUCCUACUGAGGAGAGAUGGUGAAGAAACUAAUUGACUAUUGGCAGUGGUGAAAGCCUUUGGCUUCC